GACGGAGGGUGCUAGCGUUGUUCGGAAUCACUGGGCGUAAAGGGCGCGUAGGCGGCCUUGCAAGUCGGUUGGUGAAAGCCCGGGGCUCAACCCCGGAGGUGCGGCCGAGACUGCAGGGCUGGAGGCCGGAAGAGGAGGGUGGAAUACCCAGUGUAGAGGUGAAAUUCGUAGAUAUUGGGAAGAACACCGGUGGCGAAGGCGGCGACCUGGUCCGAUACUGACGCUGAGGCGCGAAAGCGUGGGGAGCAAACAGG
rnacentral:rRNA from 1 species